rnacentral:rRNA from 1 species
CCUACGGGAGGCAGCAGUGAGGAAUAUUGGUCAAUGGGCGUAAGCCUGAACCAGCCAAGUCGCGUGAGGGAUGAAGGUUCUAUGGAUCGUAAACCUCUUUUAUAAGGGAGUAAAGUGUGGGACGUGUCCUGUUUUGUAUUUACCUUAUGAAUAAGGAUCGGCUAACUCCGUGCCAGCAGCCGCGGUAAUACGGAGGAGCCGAGCGUUAUCCGGAUUUAUUGGGUUUAAAGGGUGCGUUGGAGGUCUUUUAAGUCAGCGGUGAAAGUCUUUGGGUCAACCAUAGAAGUGCCGUGGAAACUGGGAGGCUUGAGUAUGGUAGAGGGAGGCGGAAUGCGUGGUGUAGCGGUGAAAUGCAUAGAUAGCACGCAGAACCCCGAUUGCGAAGGCAGCCUGCCAAGCCAUGACUGACGCUGAGGCACGAAAGCGUGGGGAUCAAACAGGAUUAGAUACCCGUGUAGUC